rnacentral:rRNA from 1 species
AUUGAACGCUGGCGGCAGGCCUAACACAUGCAAGUCGAGCGGAUGAGGAGAGCUUGCUCUCUGAUUCAGCGGCGGACGGGUGAGUAAUGCCUAGGAAUCUGCCUGGUAGUGGGGGACAACGUUUCGAAAGGAACGCUAAUACCGCAUACGUCCUACGGGAGAAAGUGGGGGAUCUUCGGACCUCACGCUAUCAGAUGAGCCUAGGUACGAUUAGCUAGUUGGUGAGGUAAAGGCUCACCAAGGCGACGAUCGUUAACUGGUCUGAGAGGAUGAGCAGUCACACUGGAACUGAGACACGGUCCAGACUCCUACGGGAGGCAGCAGUGGGGAAUAUUGGACAAUGGGCGAAAGCCUGAUCCAGCCAUGCCGCGUGUGUGAAGAAGGUCUUCGGAUUGUAAAGCACUUUAAGUUGGGAGGAAGGGCAGUAAGUUAAUACCUUGCUGUUUUGACGUUACCGACAGAAUAAGCACCGGCUAACUUCGUGCCAGCAGCCGCAGUAACAC